CUUGGUGGCACUGCCUUAUUAGCCUUGUGUCCUGGGGGGAACAAGACCUUGCCGGCUGGUUUAUUAGUAAUUUUUGAGUGUUGGGGGAAAUGUGUAUCAGUGCGUGUGUGUGUGUGUACGUCUGUCAGUGUGUGUAUCAGUCACUCUGUCGGUCAGUGAGUGUGUGUGUGAGAGAGUCUGUCAGUGUAUCUGUGAAUGUCUGUGUAUCUAAUUGUCAUGUUUAAUUGCAGUGUUGGCACUUUGAGGAAAACAAAAGUUUGUUUGUAUUGCAGUUUGGGCACUCAGGCUCAAAAAUGUUCGCCAUAACUGAUCUGUAGCAUACAGAAAAACAAUAUUCAAAUUUUCAUACAGUGUGCUAGGAGCCAACUUGAAACAAAGUUAAUUAAAGUUACUGAUUUGUCCACUAUUAAUCUACCUAUAUUAGGCAUAAACAGAAUUAUUGUGAUUCUAUUGAUAUUUUUGCAACUGAGAAAUUACUGUUUAAACAGAUGUGUAAAAAUGUAAUUUUGAAUUUCA